GGGGGUGUAGCUCAGGGGUAGAGCCUUUGACUGCAGAUCAAGAGGUUCCCUGGUUCAAGUCCAGGCAUUUCCU